AGUAGUAACCUGGAUUGGCCUUUUGUCCAUGGUGUAUUUGGAGCCUUAUCUGACAGCUAUGUUUUGAUUUGUGCGCGUUUGGUCUGAUUUCAGCUAUGGAGCUGGCUCUGGCUCUGGAAAAGCUGGUUAAUGAGAAGCUGCACAACCUGCACGCUGUGGCCACAAGGUGCAAUGAUCCUCAGCUGACAGACUUCAUUGAGAGUGAAUUCCUUGCCGAUCAUGUCGAAGACAUCAAGA